GGGGGUGGUUUGUGCACCCAUCGUACCACCCCAGAAGCAUUACGGCUGCGAGGCAAACUACUGCAGUACUUUACCACUGGACAAGCAGUGGACCAGUUAAGGCCACACCCAGCAUGAGCCUGCCAGGUAAUGGGGUUUUCAGGGAGGUGCUAACCUGAGAAACAUGGUGGAAGUGUGAAGAGUUUUCUGGAGAGCCUCACCCAAACAGCAGCUUAAAAUGAGAAACUCACAGGAGAUAGAUAAUGUGCACUUGCUCUCUCUCUUUCUCUUGCUCCCCACCCCAUCACAAUGCAUUUGACCUUGAAUAUGGUAAGAGAUGUCUAAAGACCCCCCUCACGUUCCCCUCUCACCUACAAGCUAGCUUCCAUUCCCUCACAUAAAUCUACUGUGUUGUAUUGUCUGAUGCUCAAAAGUGAUGAUAGUAUUGGAUGUGGAAUCUAUUCACAAUAAAGAUAAAGAAAGCUGGUGU